CAGGAACAUCCAGAUCUUCUGAACUCUGGGCUCCUCUCACGGUUUGAUACACACACAGACACCUCUUCAAAGUUGAGGCUAUCAAACUGCCUGUAACCUGAUCAGGUGGUAAAUGGAUAAUACGCAGUGUUGUGAAAUUACUCGGUAUGAGAUCUGGGCUUUCAAAGAUUAUGUUUGAAAAGAGAUCAAGCAUGAGGUCAUGUAGCUGCUCUAAACUCAUUUCCUCCAGAAAUGGUGGUACCUUGACUUUAUACAGAAGGGAAAUGGAGGAUGUCAUCCUUAAUGAGGAGGAAGAAGAACACCUUAGUAAGUCAUAGCCUUGUGAAUGCAGACUGUUGAAAUGAAAAGACAGACCAACCAUCGCAUGGUGAUUACCCAGGAAAGCCACCUUGGGUUCUGGUUUUGGGAGCUGGAAAUAGAUACUGAGUUGGUAUUAUUUACUGAGAUAAAAUA